GGGCUCCGGGCGGCCGUGACCCUGCUGGAGUGCGGGGGGGACCUCCAGCCCCCCGGGGGGUCCCUGCGCCUCCUCUGCCGAGGGUCCGGGUUCAGUUUCGGCAGUUUAGACAUGUUCUGGAUCCGCCAGAAACCUGGACAGGGGCUGGAAUACGUGGCAAGGAUCUACUACACUGGUGCUUCUACUGACUACGCGCCAUCGGUCAAGGGCCGGGUCACGAUCUCCAGGGACAACGGGCAGAGCUCGGUGACGCUGACCAUGAACAGCCUCAAGGACGAGGAUUCCGCCACCUAUUUCUGUGGGAAAUGUGCUUACACUGGUGGUUGUGGGGCAGGGUCAGAAUGGCCAGGGACAGCCCAGGAGCCAAAAUGGCCCCGAGUGGGCCCCGAGCUGAGGUGUGGGGCCAGGAGCUGA